rnacentral:lncRNA from 1 species
UUUUUCUUUUUUUUUCAGUUUGAUGAUAUUUAUGAAUACCAUUUUCUAUAAAAAAUACAAAUACUCCAGUGGCUUUAAAGUAUUUUUCUAAGGAUGAAAAAUUUUAAAUGUCUUCAAUUUAAAAAAAAAGUUUCACGUGGUCCUUUAAUAUGAUUUAAACAAAAUACCCUCUUGCCCCUCUGCCCAACAGAACAAUACUUGAUACUCUGAACUUUUGUUUUAAAUUAAAGUUUAGCUGAUUUACAGUGUUGUGUCAAUUUCUGCUGUACACAUUCUUUUUCUCAUAAUUCAUCAUGUUCUAUCCUCAGAAGAUACAUGCACCUCUAUGUUCACUGCAGCACUAGUCAUAAUAGCUAAGACAUGGAAAUAACCUAAAUGUCCAUCAACAGAUGAAAAGAUUAAGAAGAUGAGGUACAUAUAUACAAUGGAAUACUAUUCAGCCAUGAAAAGAACAAAAUAAUGCCAUUUUCAGCAACAUGGAUGCAACUAGAGAUUCACAUACUAAGUGAAGUCAGAAAGACAAAUACCAUAUGAUACCACUUACAGAUGAAAACUAAAAUAUGGUAGAAACAGAUUCACAGACACAGAGAGCAGACUUUUGCCAAGGGGGAGUGGAAAGGAAGUGGGAUGGUCAGGGAGUUUGGGGCAUCAUAUGUAUGAGUGACCUCAAAGCCAUUUUGGACAUUGAUGAAAUAAAAAUAUUAAAAGCUUAAUCGUAUGUGGUUUAAUAAUAAAUCUUUAAAUCAAGAUUAAAAGUACAUUUAAAAUAAAAUGAGAAAUACAGAAUUUCCAUCAUGGCCUACAAGAUGCUCCAUCAGUGGGCUUCCUUACCCUUGACCUCUCUGCGUGUCACAGCUUCCCCCCUGCCUCCCCGCCCCAUUCUUGCUGGGCUCCAGCUGCCUGCCUGCCAGACAUGCCUUGAAUACCCCUGCCUCAGGACUUUCAGGAGAUUUCUCUGCCUGACACACUCCCAAGAUCUGCGUGUGGCCACUCUUUCUCAGCCACUCAUUCUAGCUCCUUACUCAAUGGUCCUUCCUAUGUUAGCCCCUUCCCUUCUUCCAUCAUUCUUUACUUUCCUUAUAGCACCAACCACUCCCCCUGGCCUGGCUGUCUCUCUUGCUGUCUCUCUGAGCACAUCUCUUGGCCCCUCCCAUUCACUGAAGUAUCCCCAGUUCCUAGAAGAGGGCCUGGCAAUGGGCACUGAAAAAAAAUAUUUGUCCUAUCAAAGAAUGAAUGAAUAUUUAAAGGCAUAUACCCUCCCCCAAGUAAUAAAGAAGAAACCUUGUUCUUUCUCCCAGAAGACUAAUUUCAAACUUAGCUAUGGGGAGAGGCACUGGGAAAAAAGCUUAGGGUGGGGGACCUCUGAGAUGUCCAACCUUAUCUCCAUCACAGAGAUGUACUUUCCUGGGCUUUAUGAGUAGGUGUCCACUCUGUCUACAAUAAGAGUUCUGCGGCUAAAAUAAAAUGUGGAAAGCAAUGAUCAACAUAAGUAAUAAGCCUUCAAAAGACUCCUGUCUCAAGUUAGUACAGAAAAUUGGAAUCGAGUUGUUAUAAAAACAUAGUCCCAAUUACUAUAGGUUGCCUUGUAAUGAUGACAGUGGAAAGGUCCAAAUGCUACUGAAACCCAUUCAAAACAUCAUUUCCUCUGCAUUACCUAGGAGAUCAUUAACAUCACUUUGGAGCAUCACAUUUGCCUGUCUGAUAUGACCUUAAUUGGAACCAGGCAUAUCUCCCUACAUGAGGAGUGCUGGGCUAUUAGAUAUACACUACUGGAUAGAACGCUUGCAUUUUCAUGUCUUGAUCCUCCCAUACUGCCUGUGUUAGUGUUUCAUUUUUUUCCUUGCAGAAUGCCUUCAAAGAAAGGCUCUGAAGGAAAAAUGAAUACAGUUCAUUUAUUUUUAAACUCUGCCCAAUCAUCUCAGUCAAGCAAUAGAAAGGAAAAGAGGAAAGUGCUUGCUGUAAUAGAGCCAUAUUUUUUCUGCAGCUCCUCCAUUAAUUCUUAGGACCUCUAGCUGCCUUCCUUUCAGAAUGCAACCCCAUUCAAAUCUUACAUUAUCUUGCCUACUUUCAGCUGUUCAUUAUUGCAGAAGCCAGGCCAUAAUGGCAUUCUGCCAACAUGAGUUUUAAGGUCACUUUUAUACGCCCUGACUAUAUACCUUGGAAACCAUUUGUGAAUCAGAAAUCAGACCUGAAUCAAUGGGUCAGCUCAAAGGUUAUUUAUAUUUGGCAUCCUUUGUAUAGCACUGAAUAUUAGGACCACAGGUUUUUCAGGCGAGACUCCUGAAAACUUGGUCCACCAACGCUGCUGCUCAAAUAACGGUUUCAUACGAUAAGAAUACUCCUUCCUGAAGCAGAGGCAGCAGUGGAAACCGCCAAUCUGUGAGUCCCUAAGAAGAAGGCUCUUUUCUCUCUCAAUCAAUAAUGAUGGCAAAUCUAUUCUCUAAAACUUUACAUGUAAAUGAUAAAUGAUUAGGGUAAUGUGUUGAUAUUAAUAUGAACAGUCUUCUCUUUCCUGCAAGUACUAUUAACAUCAGUGAAUUGAAUUAAUGUGCCAUUUGACAGUUUUGAACAAAGAAGUGGUGAAAGGGAUUGCUAAAGGCUCCAGAGAAAUAAUGAAAAGAAACUUUGACCACGAAACGAAUUAUUCUACAAACGGACCAGAAUAGAAACACCCAUUAGAAUUAGGGCCAGUUUUAUUUAGGAGAUCCGUUAACCAUCUGGAAAACAUGAUAAACAGCAUGUUGAUGAAAUAAACAGGCUGUUCCCAAUGGGCUGGCUAUCUAGAAACUGGAGAGAGAAAUCUAAAAUAUGGAGGAUGUUUAGAAAUAUGAAUGGAGAAUAAUGAAACACCAAUGCCCAAGCACAACUGGCUUGUUUGUCAUUUAUACUCCCAUGUAUUGGCAGGAAGAAAAGUAGCAGCAGGUGUGCUCACAAGUGUUCAUUGUAGAAAAUGAAUACAAACACCUCUGGCUUCUAUGCCUUUUGAAAAUGAAGACGAAUUCAGUUUAUAAGAAUUUCUUUCUUCUCACAUUGCCUCUCUUAUCUAAAUCAUAUGGAGAUACAUAAUCUAGGUCAAUAGACCCAAAUUUGAAUAUUUUAAUUACCUUGACUACUUGUUAGAAGAGGUAUAUAUAUUCCGAGCCAUAUUUCGGAUGUGGAGGCCAGCAAUUAUGUGUCAUUAAAAAGCACCUCCGUUAACCCAGGCUGGCAUCAGUUUUAAGCCUCUUGGACAAGUCAUUUUAGGAGAUUCGUUAAAUUGCCACUAGGGGGAGUGUUGGCCAAGCUUUGUGCUUUUGGUAAAGGGAGGGUGCUGACUGCCUCCAGAAGCUUAGCUAUAACAGAAAGAAAGGAUAAAGAGACAAAGGGAGGGAAGUGUUCCCUGGUGAGUAGGAGGUAGUUUUAGUAGGGAUUUAAAUAUCUGUCAAGGAACAGCUGAUUUCUUCGGGAUUAAUGAUAAAAGGCCCAUGAUGGAAGCACAGGGAUACCAAAAACCUUAGUUUUUGGAAAAAGCAUGUCCUCCUAGCUAGUACCUCCUCCCUCCAUCUCUCAUUCAUUCCCGCUCAGGGGAAUGGAAAGUAAACACAUUACCCAGUGAACAUUAGAGUCUAUGGCAUCCUCAGUCUUAACAUGUCAUGCACACAUGGUUUCUAUAUGUGCUUCUCUUGUUAAAUAUUUUUCAAUUGUUUUAUAUUAAAAAUUCUCCUGUUACUGCAGUAAUUUUAUUGCCUAAUUACAAAAAAUUGCAAACUUAUUGAGGAAUAUUUGGAAGAUACACAAACUGACAAGGAAGUAGAUAAAGAUCACUUGUCAUACCUUCACUCAAAUAAUAAAUGUUAACCUUGUGAUGCUGUCUUCCAGAAUUAUUUCAGUUCAUAAUUACAUGUUUUUUCUUGAUGAAAUCAUUCCAUUUUUGUGUCCCGCCCCCGCCGCAAACAUUAAAAUCAACAGCACACUACUGUGACGGUGGUCUUCCUAAACGCUGUCUCCCUCAAGGAUUAUCUUUCUAAAUUUGUUUUCCUUAUGAUAAACACUAUUUAAUUUUGGAAUAAGAGAGUUCAAGGAUCAUAGAAAGUUGUAAGUUCUUCAUAUUGCCAUUUUCAGGAAGAUUGUACAAGUAUAUAUUUCAACCAACAAAGUAAGAGAAUUUGCUUUGCUAGCAAUUUAUAUAUUUUGUUUCAAAUAUAUCAUCUUCACAGGAGGCCUAUAAUUAUUUUGUCUGUGUGUCUGUGUGUGCCACACCAAAUGAGCUUUAUCCAGGAUGACAGCGUAUUGCCAUACAUCAAAUUCAUUAAUAAUAUUUUAGUCACCUAAUGCCUAUUUUCGUCUCAUAUUAUAAAAUUGUUUCUUCAUGUUUUCUCUGUAUUUUCUUUGGUAAAAUUGUCCAGGGUUAUUACUUAUUUAAAAGAAGUUGUUCUUGAAUUCACUGUUAUUUCUAUUAUUUCUCUUCUUCUAGUUUAUUGUUUAUUAUAUCUUUCCCCUUGCCCCUUCUUUGUUCUUCUGUUGUUAUUGUCUAACUUCAUUUAAAUCCUUAAUUUUUAAUCUUUCCAUAAAAAUGAAGAUUUUUAGAGCUAUAAAUAUACCAGUUGAGGACAGCUUUGGCUGUAUCUUUUCAGUUUUGUCGUGCUAUGCUCUCACUGUCAUUACUUUCUAAAUAGCCUCUAAUAGUAGCUUUUACUUCUUUUUUGAUUCAGUGGUCACUUAGAAACUUGUUACUUUCAGGAUUUUAUUAAGGACCUUUGACCAGGUAAGUGACACAUUUUUUAAAAAAAAAACUGCAUGGAUACUUGAAAAUAAGGCAUACAUUCAGUGUAAGGCAUCAAUUCAAUAUGGACCUACUGGCUGACAUUUAAUUAUGUUUUAAAAUAAUUCUAUUUGUUCUCUUUGAAACAUAAUACAGUAAUAAUGCAAUGAUGUUUUAGCAUAGCUAUGUUUUUGUUCAUUAAGUUUUUCUUUUGAUGAUACUGACAUGCUGUGAAUAUUCAUGACAAUUUUAUUUUUAUUACUUGUUUGAACAUUUUUAUCUAUGAAAUGAUUCCUUGUUCCAUUUAAUACUUUUAGGCUUAAUUUCUUCUUUGAUGUCCAUAUUACUAUUUCUACUUUCUUUGUCUCUCACUUAUGUACCAUAUUUUUCCUUAAUUUUUCCUACCAUUUACUUAUGUAGUUAUUUUGUGAUUAGAAUAUGAUUGGAUAUUGGUUUUUUUUAUUUUUUUUAUUUUUGGCCA